AUGGCAGCGAGGGCAAAUAUUGAAGGGGCAGAGAAGGGGCUGAUGAAGAUCAAGCAGAAGAACCCAGAUGGGAAAAACAAGAAAGAGGCAGAGAAAAUGGUGAAGUUGAAGCUGGACACAACAGAGAAAGUGGAGAUGAAGAAGAUCAUGGUCCUGGAAGAGCCACACCAACUCUCAUGGUUCAAGCAAAAAGCUGCAAGUGUAUUUCCCGCCAAGAGAAAAUCAGUGAAACGCAUGAUUUUUGAUCGUUUAGUAGUCUAAUUUGGCUCUGUGGUUUCUCACUCUUCUCCUUCCUCAUCAUCAGCGGUUGGAGUGGCCUCC
rnacentral:lncRNA from 1 species